AGACAAAGCUGGACCCAGCAGAAGAUGCAAGUCUUGCCUCCGAGGACUCAAAACCAGGAGAGCAUCUCCCAGAAGAGGAGGCCAUUCUCAUUCCAGCACUGGAAGAAAAGAUUGAUUCAGUUAGCAAAAGGGAGGAGCCGGAGGGCACUGAGCCCCUGCCUUUGGGAUCGGAGGAGAGCACGGGGCUGCCGCCUGCAUGGCGAGAGGAGAGCACCGGGCUUUCGCUGCCAGCGCCAGGGGAAGACACUGCAUCACCGCUGCCAGGACCAGCAGAAGACAGUGGGCUGGUGGAGGGCAGUGACAGCGCUGUAGUGGAAAUUGUCAAGAAAGAACAUAUUACUGAAGAUGACCAACUCAUUGAGGGUAAUAUUGGUGCUUUUGUAAAUUCAGGAGACCAAAUCAUGCCUCCAGAGACUUGCGCAUGUGUCUUUUUGACUUUAGUGAGAGACUCACACAAGCUUCUGGAGUCAGAAUUUGGUCUGCAGAGUCUGUACAAUUUAAAGUGUAGAAACACGUGGUUGGAAAAGCCUCAGACUCACAAGUCCAAGCUGUAAUAAAUAUAAUCAGCUUUUCCAGUCCUUAUCUCUGCUACUUCAUUUCAUAUUCUGUGUUCUUGGCAGAUAAAAUGCCCCACCAUACCCCUCAUUUAAAGGUUGUGUUUCUGUGUAGCUCAGAGACGUCGCUUAAUGUUUGCAGAGACCAAAGGCUCAAUUACUUAAUUACAUAUAUUAAUUAUAAAGCAACUGUCCCUAUGCCUAAUAAUGGUGGAGGGUGGGUGUCUAACGAUAGAAGAAAAAGCAGCUUGUAGAUGCAUCGUUGGCAUACACAGCCUGUCUUAAGAGGGCUGGCUAUUGAAUAAGCACAACAGAGAGAGACGCUGGGGAGGAAGGCUGAGUGAGGAAGGACUGUUACCUGAGACAACAGGUAUUUCCACUUGGGAACGUCAUAUAGUGGGGACAACAUGCUUGAAUGAGUUGUAAGAGGAAUCUUGUGCAUUUAGGGGUAGGAGUGCUUGUUGUCAGAGAUGGUGCUCAUCUUUGGGGCAAUGCCCAGAGGAUGUACCUCUCUCACUCACUACACAUGCCGAAGGUGAACACUUUAUGGGAGGGAUCAGGCUUCUCCAAAACAGUGCAAAGCAGCUCAGUGAGGGAUUGGUUACUUCCUGGGGAAGCGUUUCUUUGGGCAACAAGCAGGUGAAGCACAUGAGAAGUAUAUCUCUGCAGGGAAACAUGGUACUGGCAGCCGCCUUCACUGCACGUUCCCCUUGAAGUGCAAAACACAGGAGAAGGACUAAUUAUGUGAAGCCCAGAGCCAGUUCAUAUGGCUUUACUGUGCACAGCUGUAUAAAUCUAUCCGCAUAUCAGCAGCUGAGCUAUGGGCACUGCCUUGUCCUCCUGUGUGUUUCUUUUCAAAAGAAUUUGGAGGGCUCGUCUACAUAAAAUGGAGAUCUAUCAUUUGGAAUAAAGUCUUGUUUUAUGUAUGCAGUAAAGCACUGGGUGCUCACCUGUAAAACAUGUAGUCUUGCCCAGCUGACAAUCCCAAUUUCAUUAAUCCAUUAACCAUCAUUUAUAAGCUUAGUGGCACAGUCCUGGAGGCAGAACAGUACCUUCUGAACAAUGUAAUAUGACCUUAUAUACAUGAAAACAUGUUGAAAAUUGAUUGUUGGCCUACAGAACAGGUAUGGGGCUUUGAAUCGCCAAGCAAUGCAUGCUGUUUGCAUGGCAAGUGAAUAAGGCUUUCAGAAAAACUUAGUCUUACUGUUAUUUGUUCCAAGAUUGGAAUAAUAUCCCACAGGCUCUCGUGUGCGUUUUCUUUCCACAAGGUAUGUGAUGAAGAAGGGGCCUUCCAUUUUUAUGUUGUGGUGCAUAGGAUACACAGCAUUUGUUUCGCUCUCCUUUAUUCCUCAGUAGCUAUGUGAGAGACGAUUAAUUAGGUAGCAGCUUCCCAGGCAAAGUAUAACUUCAACUAGAAUAGCACGUUAUCAUGUUUUCUAUUUCUGUUAUGUUCCCUUUUUUGGAUAAAAACACACAUAUGUAGAAUAACACUCAUUACCUAAGGAAAAUAAUUUGAACAGGAAUAGUGCUUGUGAUGUGUAUUGAAUAAAGUGUCAAGGGCAUUUUGUGAAAAUGUUGGGAGAAUUUUAUGGGCAUGAAGCAUGCUUGUACUUGGAUGAUGGAAAGUGACUGGGAACAUCAUGUUUGUUCCCUAUCAAUUCAUUCAGUUGAUACCUUUGUAAAGGGCAGCGGAGGGUUGGUGAAACAAAAUCAGUUUUGCAGAAAGAAGCUGGGGCACUCAGUGCUUUUUUUAGUGGAUCCUAAUUUGAUCUCCAUGGUUACUGUUCCCAGGUGAGACGGGAGAACAGGUGGAAACUGAGCUGCUCAGUGAGAUAGUAAGUGAAGGGUCUGAAACAAAAGAAGAAGAAACAGGAGAAGCAGUGGAUGGUGCAGCAGCAACAGAGAUAGGGACAGCUGAUAACGAGGAAUAGAAGUUAUGUCUAUAUGAACGUCCUCUUCUUGGGCCUGCUCUUCUGUCUUCAUGAAGAUUCUUUAAUUUUAUUGGGUUGGGAAAAUAGAAAAGUUUUUAUAGACUUUGCCACAAACAUGAAUAAGAGGCAGGAAAAGCUUUGUAUAUUAUAUAUUUUUUGAAGUCAAGCUGCCAAGACUUCAAGUAUUUGAAAUGCCUGAACUUUCACCUCCCUGCCACAGAGGGCCUUCUUAUCCCACUGCGCUAGCAGUGUACAUUUUCUGACAACAGUAUACUCAUUCAGUUUUCAAUUACGGUUUUUUCCAGGGUCAGGUAACUAACUUAAAACCUGAGUGGACACCUUUGAAACUUUCAACUAGCAUUAUAUAGGAUAAAAAAAAAUGUAGCAUAGCACUUUUUUUUUUUUUUAAAUGGUAGCGUGAGUAAAAAGUCAGAAAUGAAAGUCUUGGUGCUGUAAACUUGUAUACAUGUAGAUAAUUUCUCUGAAGGCCUAGACGAAUGGUGUACGGAGUUGCUCAAGUAUAUGGCAUAUGGAGGAGUGGAACCUGAGAGUGCCUGUUUAUUAGGCUGUAACUAAAUGCAAUGGUCAUUUAUUCAGAAAAAUACAGGGUGUGAUAUCCAGUAACCAAGUGCGUGUCUUCUGCCAACCUCUACUUUAAACACAAAUUUAUUGAAAGGACAGAAGUACAAUGAAUAUGAAAACUUUUGCAAACAAGGAAAAAGAAGAUAUUUAGCUACGAGCAGCUUUUUAGUCUUAUGAAUUCCGGCACAUUUAAGAAAAUAACUUCACAGCUGUUAACAUUCAUGCUGAUUAAUAAUUGGUCUUUAGUCAUAUAGCUCCUAAUACACAUUUGCAUCUUCUAAAACAGAUUUCUAACUAGAGACUUACAUAAGCCUGUUCCCAAAGGAGAGAGAAUCUACUAUAUUUCCCUGUAGUCCUCCAUAAGAAGUAUGCCAUGAGGGAUUUUUUUUUGGUGUUCUCUAUUAUGCUAAAUAAUCAUUUUGGAGUUGAAGUCGAAUGGCAAAGCCUUCAAACAAAUUUUCUGUGAAAAUAGGCCCUGAAGAUAAUUGGUCUUAUAGAUCUGAGAGAGCAGAAAUUUGUUGUGAUGGUGAAUAUUGCAAAGGAACUACCUAUUAUUACUAGGAACUGCCUUUUCAAUAUUCUCUGGCAUAAGAAAGCAGCAUAUUGCAGUCAGGGAGAAAGGGUCAAUUACCUAAAACGGCCAAGCAUAUGUUGGUAUUUUAUUAGGUGUAUUUUAUACAAAGAACUUAAAAAAAAAAUUUGAACUACCACCAGCAAAUUAUAAAAAUCCCCUCUAAAAGCUAACUUUUGUGCUGCAAGUGCACAUAUGACUCCAGUUGACUUUGGUUUGUAUUAAAUAAUUGAAUUUAUAUACAUGGCCUAUCAGGUUUUUACUUUAGCUGAUGUUCUUUGGCUAUAACACUAUAUUUAAGAGUUUCUGCUUAUCAGCAGUCUGUUCAGUUUACAGACAUCUCAGCUUUAUUUAAGGUCACCUAUUAAUGUUGGCUGUAGGACAGAACUAGAAACUUUUAUAACCAAAGCGAACACUUUUUUUUUAAAGGAAUUUUGGUAAGUGGAUGUUACAGAUGUUUGGUUUUUGCUUUUUACUCGCCUUCUAUAUUAGAGAACUUAAGGCAAGGAGUUAGUCCUACUAAGCAUCUAAUAUUGACACAGAAGUAGGAAUUAAAAAUUCACACAGGUAGCCAAACUUUCUGUCCACAUACCCAAAUCAUUUCAUGAUAAAGAACCACAGAAACAUACCAUAUAUUCCGGAGAGCUGAGAGAUGGGUGACCAGUUAAGGAGCAGCAUGAGGGCCCUUGGGAUGAUACAGAGUAAGGCUGGGCAUACAGCUGGGGUCUGUUAUGACCCAGGAGCUUCACCUUCAGCUGCUUCUGGUGGCUGGUGUCCUCUUGUAAGCUGGGGAUUUGGUUUAGCCACCAGCACGGUCCUGCUCCCAGUUAAGGAAAUGACAGACAGGGGAGCCAUACUCACUGCUUGUAAGCUACGUGUUAGAUCAAGAGUUACAGUUUGACCAGCUGUAUCGAACAAUUGUAAAGUAGAAACCGAUUCCAUGAUAGUAUGGACAGCAGUGGAAGAGAUUGCACUUGGAAAAAAAAAAAUACGAUGCUACAAUGGAACCGCUGCUUUGCGGAGCCACUGUUGUUACCAAAAAGACAAGCAAAUCUACAUUCUUAUCUCACCAUUCGACUUUUUGAAGACAUUAAGCAAUUCUAAUUGGGAACAAGAAGAAUAUAAGACAAUCAGUUACUCAACAUCUCAGUCCUUAUGUACUUUGUGUUUACAACUGAUUAAAAGCUAUUUUAGCUUUUAGCUUUUUUUAUUUUUAGCUUAGAGUGCUUCACUUCUUCAAGGAACAAGCUUAAUCACCAAGCUCACAAGAAACCUCUGACAGGAAUUUUGUUCCCGUUACCAAUAAACAUAACCCUACAAGAGGAUAAUUUUGGACCCUGUCAGCCCUAUGUAUGCGCAUACUGUGUUAGGAUCCCCAAAUACAUCUAGCAAUCUGGCUUGCUAGAGUCUGAUCUUUCACUUAACACAUACUUGCUCUCAGAUAAAAUACUUUAGCAAGCGUGAGGUGCUUGUAGCAGAAGAUUAGGGCAAUUGAAGUUUUGUUACGCAUUUUAACAGAGAACAAAGUUCUGUUAAAAUUAGGUACUGAGGUUUGAUUUUUGCAUUGUUCAAUCUAUAGAGAACAUAAUCAUUAGGGGAAAAAAUUAUAAAAGAAACAUGUAGCAGAAAAUGCUAAUUUAAGUACUGCAUUACUAUCACAGAAAUAUAUUAGAUGAGCUGUUUUGUUUCUGUUUUUUAAUAGUUACAUGAUUGAAACAUUUUAAAUGGUGGAAUUAAUAUGUCAAGCUAAAUCACAACUUCAUAUUGUGCAUGCUAGUGGCUCAGUCUAGCAAACAAAAUGGCUGUUUAACUUAGCUCCAGUUAAAGCAAGAUUUCAUACAUGCUUAUGUACUUUGCUGAACUGAGACCUAAGAGAUAUCCACAAUACUUGCUUUUCAAAUAGGAGAAUUAUGAGGCUUUGACUUUUUAAAAAAAAAAAACAGAUCAAGUAAUAUAAUGCUGCUUAAAAAGUACAAGUUUUUGCCAUCUAUAUGGAAGACUGAUCAUUUAUGCUAAGAACUGCUAUGUCAGAGCUAUAAAUAAAAGUGUUUAUUUCAGUUAUUCUCGAAUUCCUCUACUGGAAGAAUUCAUAUUUAGGCUUGAAUUGUUCAAGAACGUGCGUUGGGUCCCCCACUAAAAGCCUAAGAAACUUACAACUAACAGCGUUUUUUUGUUCCUGACUUUUUGCAGAAUUGCACCUACUUACCGAUACAAACAUUUUUAAUGCAAGUAAUCUGUUGUGCCUCAUGAGUGGCAUCCAGCAUGUGUUCUUACAGGUGCUUCUUUUACCUUUCAGUCUCAGUUUGCGUCUUUCUGGGAAAAACAGUAUUAUAUUCACACCCCUCUGUACCAACGAAGACACCCAAAGGAGUUCUAUAAAGGACCUUAAAUCAGCAAACAGGCAAGUCAAGUCAGCACCAAAAAAAAACACCCGCACCAAAAGCGCCAUCUUGUGUUAGGUGUAGGCUGGCGAGGAGGCAGCACAGCACAAAUAAGGCAGCUGGUCACACAGUAGUAAUAACGUGAGGUAAGAAGGGAUAACUCUAGCUAUACAAGGCUGAACUUAGCUUAUUUUCAACACUAUUGAUAUCUGCUGAUGGUGAACUCUUAAUUAUACUACAAAUAAGUUAAAUAUAUUCCAACAAAGUAAUUACAUCUGAGAAAAGCAAUACAGAAAAAAAAAUAAAUUGGGAAUCUGCUUAAACAAUAUAGCUCAAUUCAAUUACAUUAUUCCUGGCUGACAAGAGUGAAGCAACAUUCACUCAAUGUUUCCUAUAAAGUCACUGUCACGUUACUGCUCGCUCCUUCCUGAUGGUGUUUGUUUUGUUAGCCGGGAUUGCUUCUUGAGUGAAACAACUACUACCAAGCUGUAGAAGAUAAAAAAAACUUCAAUAGUACAGCCAAAGAAAGAGAGAAGCUGGGACUAAUAGCAUUUGUCUGUAGGAAGUUUAUAUGCAAAGUCUUUCUGUACUUUUCAAAAGCUGUUGCUUAAAGUUCAGAUUAUCUGAUACAUUAAAUCCAUUAUCCUGCCCCUAAUAAAGGUAAUUACGUCCUAUUCUGGAGAUAAGGGAAAACUGUAAAAAGCCAUACAACUGUACAUACUUGCUGUGACUGUCUCGUUAUUAAUUGCUUUUCUUUGAAGACACAAAUUAUGAACUCAGCGGAAAGCAGGAGAAAUACCCCAUUCAAGCCAUAUUUGGAAGGGCUGAUUUGUUUUCACAAGUUAUCUAGGCAGCAUUACACAGAAAGGCCUGAAAAAUAUGAAAUUUACAGUUAUCUUAACAGUACAACUAAAGUAAUGAGACCUAGAGAGUACAGCUGACAAGCAGGAAGGUAAGAAACCACUGGUGGGAUGUUUAUAGUUCAUCAAAGGAUCAAGACGAUUGUUGUGGAGGUUUGCUCGCAGGAGGAUGUUCAAACUGAGCGGUAUCUGUAUAUGUCAUUUAAAGAUAUACGCUGCUAUGAGGUAUACACAGAUAGCAGCUGAACCCAUGCUGUUAUAUUGGAGUUUUCGUGCAUGCUUAGCAUACAAAGUCAUUAACCAAUAAAGAAGCAUGUAAAAGAUGAUCACCAAUAGGCAUUUUAACAUCAUUUUUAGAAAACAAGUGAUAUGCACAUAGGAGAACUGCAGUUUGGAUUUAAGUUGUUGGACAGCUCAGCCUGCAGUGCUAUCGCUUGACCAACGGCAAACCUACAUCAUGCCCUCUCCCUGCCACACAGCUGUAGUAAGGAUGCUGGAGUGACAAAUCCAGCGCCGAGUCAGGUUUUGUGGCUUACCAAAACCGAGCAAGUUUGGUCACUAGAAGAGAUGGGACUAGAAAAGGAUGCUGGAGCUGUCAGUCCCAGCAGACUCCAGAAAGAGUAGCCUACAGGUCUCCCUCUCAUAACAUGGUUGCUAAAAUUCACGUGUGUUACUACAGCUGAAAUGGUGCGUUCCGUAAGCUGCUGCAUAUGUCCAUUUUUACUUUCUAUAAGAUGAAAAUGAAGAUGGGGGAUAAUGUUACUGUCGCUGUAUAUACGUGUAACUGGAUGUCCAUCUUUGCAGAAGAGAACAUAACAAAAAUGUUUAGGUCAACAGACUGUGAACAAAGAGAAGUUCUGCUCAUUUAUGCUGAAUAAACCAAUAUCGAACUCUGGCAUGUAGCUGUGGGGAAGUCAAGAAACCUACUUGGUCAUAAGACAGCUGACUUUCAAACAGGUUCGUUAAAAACACAGCAUCCAUUUCUACUUGCUUAGCUAGAAGACAACUGGAAAGGGAUAGGAUAAUGUAACAUCACAGUUUGACUCCCAAGAUUGUUUAAACACCCUAUUCAAGAAGAUGCUUCUGUUCUUAACUGGGAAAACUGCCAAGAAACAAUGUCACCAUAGCUGAAAGCUUGCUGUCUUGGAAGACUGUUUUCAUCCUUAGCUAUUAGCAGAUAGGCAGUAAACCUAUUUUUCCUGGUUUGAAUCAUUCCUUAUUGGAUAAGCAAGAUAAGGAUUUUUUGAAAUGGAGUAUAAAAGCAUAACAGCUUAACAGCUUUGAGGG